rnacentral:rRNA from 1 species
GGAAAGACCCCGUGAACCUUUACUACAGCUUUGCACUGGACUUUGAAUUUGCUUGUGUAGGAUAGGUGGGAGGCUUUGAAGCGUGGACGCCAGUCUGCGUGGAGCCAACCUUGAAAUACCACCCUGGCAACUUUGAGGUUCUAACUCAGGUCCGUUAUCCGGAUCGAGGACAGUGUAUGGUGGGUAGUUUGACUGGGGCGGUCUCCUCCUAAAGAGUAACGGAGGAGUACGAAGGUGCGCUCAGACCGGUCGGAAAUCGGUCGUAGAGUAUAAAGGCAAAAGCGCGCUUGACUGCGAGACAGACAGGUCGAG